rnacentral:lncRNA from 1 species
UGUUCCUUCACACAGUAAUAAGAUAUUUGUACUAAGAAUCAAGCAAAGGGAGCACGUCUCCACUGGAGUAACUUUCCUGUAUUAUAAAUGCACUUAAUCUCUUUCACAUUUACAAAAGCUUUGUUAAAUAUCUGUUCUGCAUGUUUCUGGUACUUCCUUUUUUGCCCAUCAUCCUGGUUCUAGCCCAACCUUAACAGGGAGGGUAAGACAGGCCAAGGGUGUUGAUCUUUGUAUAUGUUUCAUUUCAGCAUAUCUCAAAAUUGGAAAAAUCCCAAUACUUAGGAUCCCAGGACUGACGUACACAGCUGUCGAUUGCCGCCCUGCACAGUCAAAAGGAAAUAGCUGUCUUUAUUUAAAGUCUCUGUUGGCACCGCGAUCCAGACAUGCCCUUAGACAAUGAAAUGGACAGAAAUCCAUUUUCCAGGCUGGAAGGAAGGCAACAAAUGAAUUGAAAGAAUGAAGAGUGAAGAGGAAUUGAGGCGUUCACAGGGCUUGCAGCAUGAGUGAUUUGAAGUGAUGGGAAGGAGGCAGGUAUGGCAUUUGUUUGUUUAAAAUAUAGGACUAGACUUGACUUUAAGGUGCACAUUGCAUUGCUGAAAAGUCUGCUGCUGUGUUUCUGCUAAGGAGAUGCACACGUGCAGCACGUAGCGCACGUGCAGUGAUCCCAGUGCAGACCAGUUGCCUGCAGACACAUGGUAACCCUUGCAUGGGGUUCUUCUGGCCACGUGCCCCAAAUGCAGGGCAGUUAAUCUGUGCACGCACCAUGGCCUUUUGUCUGAGUUUCCUGGGUGUCCAAAAAGAAGCUAUAGCCUUCCUCUGCUGAUCUGACCAGGCCCUUAAACAUCAGGCCAUUCACGGCAAGCAGCCAAGCUUGUCUUUUUUGGGCUGGAAGAAAAAGAAUUUUCCAGGGAAAGCUGGAAUAUGACCACACUGACAAAGUCAAGAUGCAAGAUGUCCACCGAGAGAGUGGUUCACGACAGUUUUUAGAUUUCAUCUCAGUCUCCAGAGGAGCCCAGUGACCAACAGGCACCUACUAAAUCUCAUAACAUUCAGUUAAACCAACACCUGUCCAAAGCAUCUGGUGUUCGUACCUGGGGAAGGACCUGCAGGUGGGAGCGCGGUGCUGCUAAGG